UCGAAGGACGAACGCUGGCGGCGUGCUUAACACAUGCAAGUCGAGCGGAAAGGCCCUUUCGGGGGUACUCGAGCGGCGAACGGGUGAGUAACACGUGAGUAAUCUGCCCUUGGCUUUGGGAUAACUACCGGAAACGGUGGCUAAUACCGGAUACGACCACUCCUUGCAUGAGGUGGUGGUGGAAAGUUUUUUCGGCCAGGGAUGUGCUCGCGGCCUAUCAGCUUGUUGGUGGGGUAAUGGCCUACCAAGGCUUCGACGGGUAGCCGGCCUGAGAGGGUGACCGGCCACACUGGGACUGAGACACGGCCCAGACUCCUACGGGAGGCAGCAGUGGGGAAUAUUGGACAAUGGGCGGAAGCCUGAUCCAGCAACGCCGCGUGAGGGAUGACGGCCUUCGGGUUGUAAACCUCUUUCAGUACCGACGAAGCGCCGAUGAUGGUGGUGACGGUAGGUACAGAAGAAGCACCGGCCAACUACGUG
rnacentral:rRNA from 1 species